rnacentral:rRNA from 1 species
GGUCAAUAGCCUAACGGCUGAACCAGCAACUUGAAGGAAUGUAUAGCGAAAGCUAGUUGUGCUUACAAUUCUAGGUUUUUCUUAAAAAUUUUUAGGAAGAAACAAGAAAAGGGUAGUGCAAUAUUGACUCGAUCAAAUAAAGUUCUAGUUAGAGUUAUGAUGAUGACAUACUCUAGCUAUGUGUCUUGACCAAAUUACGUGCCAGCAGUCGCGGUAAUACGUAAAAGACUAGUGUUAUUCAUCUUUAAUGGGUUUAAAGGGUACCUAGACGGCUAAUAAAGCUCCCAAAGAGUACUAAUUAGCUAGAGUUUGAUGUAAAGAGGCAAUAAAGUACUGAUAGUAUAGAGAUAAAAUUCUACGACACUAUAUAUGGCACUGGUAAUAGCGAAAGCAUCCUCUUAUGUAAUAACUGACGU